UCAAGCUUUAUUGACCAUCUUCAAUACAGACAUUAGAACUAAAACACAACGCAACAACCAGAGAAUCCAACAACAGUAUCUAAGGCUGCAGACUGCUUUGAAAACCUAGGACAGUACACUGAGGGACUUCGUUUGACAGAGGGAUCUGUACCUACUGUCCGUGGCAAGUCACAAGAUGGGAGACAUACUCUACCUGGCUGCUCUGCAUUACAAUGAGGAUGCUGCACGAGACCAGGCCACCUUCUCCUCUGGGGACCCUCUCUACAGGAUGCAUUUCCCAAAGUACAGGAAGGGAGAGUGCAGGGUGAAACCCAUCAAAACCGAGACAACAUUACAUAAUUUUUUAUUUAUCAACAAUAAAAGAUCUGUUCAUUUUGCAUGCUAUUGCACUAUGGUGUCUUUACAAUGAACAAAACAAUAAAUAAAUGUACAAUGAAAUACUUUACAAACUAUGUACAUAGUUACAAAGUGUGAAAUAUUGCACAGGGUAUGUGGAAGACUUGAUGGGCUUCAUCAUGGGCGAGGUCUUUGUGGACCAAGAAGCAUACAGGGAGGAACUCCUGAAAAUAAGCAAAAAAAACUCUGUCCUCAGAGUUUGAGCACCCAGAGAAGGAGGAGGUGAUCGCCAACUACAGUAUGUGUCUCGCUUCAAUCCAGGGGAGGCAGUUUGAAGCCCACGUAUUGUCCUUGGCUGUCAGGAAACUCCCGACGAACACGCAGGACCACACAUGACGGGAUGACGACCCUUAUUCUGCAUCCAACGAAUCCCCAACACCAACUGACAAAGCUCCUGUAGGCAAGCUAUCUGUAACGACUAAAAAAAAAAAAAAAAACAUCGCAGUAGUUAGCAGGUUACAUAAUCUGUCAGUUCUGUCAAAAGUGCAAUUGUCAUAUUGCAUAUGUCAUGUUUUAUUUCUGUUUUGUGUAAUAAAUAUAUUGU